AACGAACGCUGGCGGCAUGCCUAACAUAUGCAAGUCGAACGAGACCUUCGGGUCUAGUGGCGCACGGGUGCGUAACGCGUGGGAACCUGCCCUUAGGUUCGGAAUAACUCCCCGAAAGGGGUGCUAAUACCGGAUAAUGUCUUCGGACCAAAGAUUUAUCGCCUUUGGAUGGGCCCGCGUUGGAUUAGCUAGUUGGUAGGGUAAAAGCCUACCAAGGCGACGAUCCAUAGCUGGUCUGAGAGGAUGAUCAGCCACACUGGGACUGAGACACGGCCCAGACUCCUACGGGAAGCAGCAGUGGGGAAUAUUGGACAAUGGGCGAAAGCCUGAUCCAGCAAUGCCGCGUGAGUGAUGAAGGCCUUAGGGUUGUAAAGCUCUUUUACCCGGGAUGAUAAUGACAGUACCGGGAGAAUAAGCACCGGCUAACUCCGUG
rnacentral:rRNA from 1 species